rnacentral:lncRNA from 1 species
GUUUCUUCAAGAAUCAAGACUUCACACCUGCUACUUCAAUGAAGAUAUAAACUUGCUGAAGAAAGAUGCUCGAAAUACUUCGUUGGAAUUAAUCCCCACGGUUGUCUCAUGAACGGAGACCUCCGACGUCUCUUGCUACUUUCAGUUUCAACCAGACGGCCUUCCUUUUGUCAGUGUUCUUUCCGUCGGUUAACUGUUCGACGAAAUGACAAUUAGAAACUUUUUUAAAAAAUUAGGGUUUUUAUUUUUUCAGUUUCGAAAUACUCCGAGUUCAUAAAUCAAAUGACAAAAUUGUUUAUAUGAUAAGAAAUCACAUACAGUUUUAAUGGUUGUAUUUUUCGGUUCGAUUCUCGGUUAUUUUCAGUCCGGACCUAAACUUGCUCACCCCUAUAUCUAAGAUGCACAAUUUCGAGCGUUGCAACACCAAUACUGUUCUAGUGCAACAUUAGAGAAUUUCUAUGUUUGGGAUCUUGGUUUACUUCAAUGCCCCUCAGGUUAGUCUUGAAAUUAAAUAUCCAAACAAAUUCUUAAAUUUAUAGAUUCCAUUUGUGUUGUGAUUUUCGUUUCUGGCUAAUGAUUCCAUUUCAUGUCAGUAAUUGUUUGAUACUGGACAAAAUAUGAGAAGGAGAUCCUUAGCGGGUCAAGUAAACUUCUAACUGAAGAUUUUUUUUUUUUUUAAGAAAGAACAAACAAUUCUUAUGUAUUGAGGUAUGUGUUUCUAUUUUCUAUUUUGCCAACUCUUGUUAUACGUCAAGUUUUGGGAUCCAAGGGACAUGGUAUACUUAUUGAGUUCUAAAUAGUUUUAGUCACAAAACUUGAUAUAUGGACUUAUGUGACAUGAUAUGCAUAUUGAGUACGAAAUAGUUUAGGGACAUGAAAUUAUGCAUGUUGUUAUAUAUCCAAACAAAUGCUUAAAUUCAUAUAUUAGGAUUAAAUUGUGAUUUUUACGAUUUACUUUAUUUAAUUGUUGUCUCAGGUUGGGAAAGAAGUAGAAGAAUACUCGGCUGGAUAUGGAUGGCAUUCGCGAAGAUUGGUCGACUUAUGCACUUACCUCUAUUUUUAAGUGACAAAUCGUAUUUUAGGUGUUGACGAUGUAUUGAUAAAUAAUUCUUUUUUUUUGUUAACGUUGAAAUAUUUGUAGUAUACUUGACAAAUGAUUAUGUAAUGGAUUGUUUUGGUUUAUAUAUAUAUGUGUGUGUGUAUUUGUU